rnacentral:rRNA from 1 species
CCUACGGGUGGCAGCAGUGAGGAAUAUUGGUCAAUGGGCGAAAGCCUGAACCAGCCAAGCCGCGUGAGGGAUGAAGGUUCUAUGGAUGGUAAACCUCUUUUAUAAAGGAAUAAAGUGCGGGACGUGACCAGUAUUGAAUGUACAUUAUGAAUAAGGAUCGGCUAACUCCGUGCCAGCAGCAGCGGUAAUACGGAGGAUCCGAGCGUUAUUCGGAUUUAUUGGGCUUAACGGGUGCGUAGGCGGCCUUUUAAGUCAGCGGUGAAAGUCUGUGGCUCAACCACAGAAUUGCCGUUGAAACGGGGAGUCUUGAGUAUGUUUGAGGCAGGCGGAAUUCUUGGUGUAGCGGU